CUACGGGAGGCUGCAGUAGGGAAUAUUCGUCAAUGGGGGCAACCCUGAACGAGCAAUACCGCGUGAACGAUGACGGUCUUUUGAUUGUAAAGUUCUGUUGUUUGGAAAGAACACUUAGAAUAGGAAAUGAUUCUAAGCUGACGGUACCAUUCAAGAAAGCUCCGGCUAACUACGUGCCAGCAGCCGCGGUAAUACGUAGGGAGCGAGCGUUAUCCGGAUUUAUUGGGCGUAGAGCGUGCGUAGGCGGUUUAUUAAGUCUGUGGUUAAAUACUAAGGCUCAACCUUAGUCUGCCAUGGAUACUGAUUUACUUGAGUUGAGUAGAGGCAAGUGGAAUUCCUAGUGUAGCGGUGGAAUGCGUAGAUAUUAGGAGGAACACCAGUGGCGAAGGCGGCUUGCUGGGCUCUAACUGACGCUGAGGCACGAAAGCGUGGGGAGCAAAUAGGAUUAGAUACCCGCGUAGUC
rnacentral:rRNA from 1 species